GGCGAAGUAGUUUAAACGGAUAGAACAUUAUAUCCUUGUUCAUCCCUUGCCCUUUGGGCCGAAGAAUGAGGGUUAUCGACUACCUACUCGAAAGGUGUGGGUUCGACUCCCACCUUCGCCG
rnacentral:tRNA from 2 species